rnacentral:lncRNA from 1 species
UGAAAAUUAUCGUCGCGCAUGGGGCCCAAUGCCCUUCGUCUACCAACUUAUCUCUCUUUUCCGCUUAAGUUUUUUUCUUUAUUCGUCUGUACAUACAUAUGUGUGCACGAGUUUCGUACGAAGUUUCUCUACACGCCUUGAGAAGUCGCGACAAUCAAGGAAUUGUAGAGAACAAUCGCGUCGAACAAUGGCUACGCUGUCGUCGAUACGUCGCAUCGCUUACCUCUUCUUUUGUAUCGUCCUUUUUCAACGUUCACCAUUAUUUUGUUUUUCUAUUUUUCAUUAAUACGUUUGGAUAACGUUAUCGCCAUUAGCCUUUGAGAGACUAACAAUACAAAGGAUCAAAACUGUAUUUAUCAGAAGACCAUCCUGCUCGAGUCAUCUGUCCGGAUCUAUAAUUUCAAUAAGGUGUAAGUGAUACGAAAAGUACGAUCGAGAUUGAAGAGGCCAUAAAGGCGUAAAUCUCGCAGUGAUCGGUAGUCAAUCUUCGGUAGUAUGCAAAUAUGGUGCACGGUUAAGUGCAUGACGGUGCAAAUUCACGUAGAGGUCAACGUGUCUCGGCGUCACUUCAUUGCUGAAACCAGCAGCACUGGUUCAACCUAUCGCAACGAACACCGACACUGCGGAGAAAAAAAGCAGCGACAGCAAUGGAGCAAUGGUAGUCACCGUUGAUGUUGAAUUUCAAAGAGAACAGUGACAGACUGACGGUAAUAUCGGCCUCAGGAGAACUUAAUCACGAAAUGUCGGCCGAGUAAACUAAAGCCGUGGCUAAUAUUUCGAUGUCACAGUGGUUUCUCCAGAUCAAGAAAGACAAGUUGCAGAAAAAUCGUUUCUACAUAAAUAAGGAUAAUCCUCUGUAAUCUUCCUCUAUUGAUCAACAAUUUUAACCAAUCAUAACCGAUAAUAACCCGAUAUGAUAAUUAUCGUGAUAAUUAUUUAAAGCAAUGUUUAGAUUACUAAUGCCUUCGUGUAGUAUCUUUGUUAUCUUGAAAUUUUUCAAUGGGAAAUCGAUUUACUCGUGAAAAAGGCGUAAAGAUAUCGGACAGGUCUUUAUCGAAGUCCAUUUCACGAUCAUGAUUCUGAAAAUUGAACGUGCACUAUUCUCACUGGUGGACACUGGUGAGGGUGUAUCGGAUGAAACGCGAGAGGUCCCAGGCGGCCUCAGAGGGGACGAAAUAAAAGCGAUCAGAAAAACGGGUAGAGAACAGAAGCUGAACGAACCGAGAAGAGGUGACAUUUCAGAUAUGAGUUUCGCGGUGUACCACAGUCGGCGGUUGGCGAGGUCAGUGGCGCUUUGCGGAGAGCCUGAUGGCGUCUCUCUCUGAGAAAAUCGACGUUAAAAAUAACUUUUCACCGGCCGACAAUAGAACACGCGAUUCCGCGGACAGACGCGUCCAGAGUGGCUCGUAUCCACUUCGUCGUGCAUGUCCACGCGCACGAAACAUCGAUUUCCCUGGUGUCGCGUUUAUUUCAUUGUUUUCGUUAAAUCGGCCCUCAUUGCUGAUCGUUUUGAUCCGUUGAUACAUGUCCUUUAAUUAACUUGUUAAACGACGAAACCGAGCUAACUGGUUAUUUGGAUCGAUAAUUUAUUGCACGUAUUAAUUUCUUUACUUGGAGAAUUUAAAAUAGAUUCUACAUUAUAUACUUGCGCUCGUAAUACUUUGAAAUAUGUACUUUGAAACUGCUAUAUGUUUUUGUUUAUAUAACUGACACGAUACGUAAGAUUUUUGUAUGUGGAUUUAGAUCAAGGAAAAUUUCAACAAAUAUAACGAUUGAAUAAUAGCAUGAUAGUAAAAACGUCGAUAAAAUAUGACUGUAUCGUGGAAUCAUCGCUAAAGCAUUCCUAACACCGCAAAACGAUAAUCACGACAAUAAUCACGAUGAUUGGCAAUGAUUAAAACAUCAGUACAUUAAGUUUGAUUUGGCCUAUGUGUUGACCUAGUGCCAGCAAUCGCGUUUACGUCAGACAAGCGUGAGAGACUCGACUUCAUCGCCUAUCUAUCAUUCACUCAUAAUUACCGGGCGAAUUAUAAUAAAAGAGAAGAGAAGAUAGCCGGCAACCGAUGGUUUUGUUCAUUUUCUGCGAUCGACCGUCCACGUAAUUACGCACGAGAGCGGAUAGUUAUAUAAACGCGUUCUUUGUUGUCCAGGGAAAAAAGAACAGCAAUUAAUAGGGCGUAUCAAGCGUGGCGCGUGCUGUUGCUUUGUUUUCGCGAUAGAGGAUUUUUCUCUAAUAGGAUUUAUCGAUUCUCAAGAAUCUUCAAGAAACGUUAAAAUAUUUGAUUCACAUCAUCGAUCGAAGUU